AGUGAACGCUGGCGGUAGGCCUAACACAUGCAAGUCGAACGGCAGCACAGUAAGAGCUUGCUCUUACGGGUGGCGAGUGGCGGACGGGUGAGGAAUACAUCGGAAUCUACUUUUUCGUGGGGGAUAACGUAGGGAAACUUACGCUAAUACCGCAUACGACCUACGGGUGAAAGCAGGGGAUCUUCGGACCUUGCGCGAUUGAAUGAGCCGAUGUCGGAUUAGCUAGUUGGCGGGGUAAAGGCCCACCAAGGCGACGAUCCGUAGCUGGUCAGAGAGAAUGAUCGGCCACACUGGAAGUGAGACACGGUCCAGACUCCUACGGGAAGCAGCAGUAGGGAAUAUUGGGCGAUAGGCGCAAGCCUGAUCCAGCCAUGCCGCGUGGGUGAAGAAGGCAUUCGGGUUGUGAAGCCCUUGUGUUGGGGAAGAAAAGCAGCAGGUUAAUACCCCGCUGUUCCGACGGUACCCGAAGAAUAAGCACCGGCUAACUUCGUG
rnacentral:rRNA from 1 species